rnacentral:rRNA from 1 species
GCUCUUCUUGGAUGAGUUGCGAACGGGUGAGUAACGCGUAGGUAACCUGCCUUGUAGCGGGGGAUAACUAUUGGAAACGAUAGCUAAUACCGCAUAACAAUGGAUGACACAUGUCAUUUAUUUGAAAGGGGCAAUUGCUCCACUACAAGAUGGACCUGCGUUGUAUUAGCUAGUAGGUGAGGUAAUGGCUCACCUAGGCGACGAUACAUAGCCGACCUGAGAGGGUGAUCGGCCACACUGGGACUGAGACACGGCCCAGACUCCUACGGGAGGCAGCAGUAGGGAAUCUUCGGCAAUGGGGGCAACCCUGACCGAGCAACGCCGCGUGAGUGAAGAAGGUUUUCGGAUCGUAAAGCUCUGUUGUAAGUCAAGAACGGGUGUGAGAGUGGAAAGUUCACACUGUGACGGUAGCUUACCAGAAAGGGACGGCUAACUACGUGCCAGCAGCCGCGGUAAUACGUAGGUCCCGAGCGUUGUCCGGAUUUAUUGGGCGUAAAGCGAGCGCAGGCGGUUUGAUAAGUCUGAAGUUAAAGGCUGUGGCUC